rnacentral:rRNA from 1 species
UACGUAGGGGACGAGCGUUGUCCGGAAUUACUGGGCGUAAAGGGCGCGCAGGCUGUAGAUCAAGUCAGCUGUGAAAUGUAUGGGCCUAACCCGGGCAUGCGGUUGAAACUGAUGUACUGGAGUGCUGUAGAGGCAAGUGGAAUUCCCAGUGUAGCGGUGAAAUGCGUAGAUAUUGGGAAGAACACCGGUGGCGAAGGCGACUUGCUGGGCAGCAACUGACGCUGGGGCGCGAAAGCCAGGGGAGCAAACGGGAUUAGAUACCCCU